rnacentral:lncRNA from 1 species
UUACAGUUCUGGAUGAAAUUGCAGUAGCAAUGUUGUGGUUGUAAUAAUGAUGAAAAAGAGCUUGUGUUGGCAAGAUUGGAUUGAUGAUAAUACUUCAAAACAUGUUUUGUGCAUUCAUCAAAGCUUGGAAACAUGUUUUGUGAAUUCAUAUCACAGAUCUUAAUUCUAUUUUAGAUUGUACUGAAUCUAAUUAUGGUAAUAUAAGUGAUAGAAUACCAUUCUAGAUAGUAUCUAUAAAAAAAAUAUACCAACCAUUCACUAUACUAACAACUAUUGGUGUAUACAGUUCAACUCGAAUAUAAAGUUAACUAUUGAGGCUAACAAUAUUCACUUGUACAAGCAAAAUAAGCUGAAUCCUACUUUUUAAGUCAAUUUGGUAUUCACAACUCUUAAUCAUAUAAUGACAUCUAUCCUGUGGCAUGAACACAGUCCAAAACAUAGAUUAUUUUUGUUUAAAUGUGUGAAUAUAUGCUUAGGAAAGGUGAUGGUUCUUUU